rnacentral:rRNA from 1 species
AAUAUUGGACAAUGGGGGCAACCCUUAUCCAGCCAUGCCGCGUGUGUGAAGAAGGUCUUCGUAUUGUAAAGCAUUUUAAGUUGGGAGGAAGGGUUUUAGGCAAAUACCCUAAAGUUUCUAUGUUACCAACAGCACAAGCCCCGGCUCACUCUGUUCCAACCGCCGCGGUAAUACAGAGGGUGCAAGCGUUAAUCGGAAUUACUGGGUGUAAAGCGCGCGUAGGUGGUUCAGUAAGAUGGGUGUGAAAUCCCCGGGCUUAACCUGGGAACUGCUUUCAUAACUGCUGAGCUAGAGUACGGUAGAGGGUAGUGGAAUUUCCUGUGUAGCGGUGAAAUGCGUAGAUAUAGGAAGGAACACCAGUGGCGAAGGCGACUACCUGGACUGAUACUGACACUGAGGUGCGAAAGCGUGGGGAGCAAACA